rnacentral:rRNA from 1 species
UUUAAUUGAAGAGUUUGAUCAUGGCUCAGAUUGAACGCUGGCGGCAGGCCUAACACAUGCAAGUCGAACGGUAGCAGGAAGUGCUUGCACUUCGCUGACGAGUGGCGGACGGGUGAGUAAUGCUUGGGAACUUGCCUUUAGGUGGGGGAUAACAGUUGG